rnacentral:tRNA from 1 species
ACCUGGCUGGCUCAGUCAGUGGAGCAUGAGACUCUUGAUCUUGGGGUUGUAAGUUUGAGCCCAUGCUGGGUA